CUUGACCCAUAAGAGGUCCAGCCUGCCCAGUGACAAAGUUUAACGGCCGCGGUACCCUGACCGUGCGAAGGUAGCAUAAUCACUUGUUCUUUAAAUGAGGACUCGUAUCAAUGGCAUCACGAGGGCUAUACUGUCUCCUCUCUCCAAUCAGUGAAACUGAUCUUCCCGUGAAGAAGCGGGAAUUUAACUAUAAGACGAGAAGACCCCAUGGAGCUUUAAACACGAUAUUAACCCCACGCCCAAACACCAACUAAGCUACAGAAUCCUUAAUAUCUGCUUUAGGUUGGGGUGACCGCGGAGUAAAACACAACCUCCACGACUAACGGGCCACGCCCUUAUCCACGAACUACAAUUCCAAGAAUCAACAAACUGACGUUUAUGACCCGACAACUCGAUCAACGAACCAAGUUACCCUGGGGAUAACAGCGCAAUCCACUUCAAGAGCCCCUAUCGACAAGUGGGUUUACGACCUCGAUGUUGGAUCAGGGUGUCCCAGUGGUGCAGCCGCUACUAAAGGUUUGUUUGUUCAACAAUUAAAACCCUACGUGAUCUGAGUUUCAGACCGGA
rnacentral:rRNA from 1 species